CUUGCCUACGGGAGGCAGCAGUGAGGAAUAUUGGUCAAUGGUCGGGAGACUGAACCAGCCAAGCCGCGUGAGGGAUGAAGGUACAGAGUAUCGUAAACCUCUUUUGUCAGGGAACAAAGGCGGGGACGCGUCCCCGGAUGAGUGUACCUGAAGAAAAAGCAUCGGCUAACUCCGUGCCAGCAGCCGCGGUAAUACGGAGGAUGCGAGCGUUAUCCGGAUUUAUUGGGUUUAGAGGGUGCGCAGGCGGUCUGUUAAGUCAGCGGUCAAAGCCCGGGGCUCAACCCCGGCCCGCCGUUGAGGCUGGG
rnacentral:rRNA from 1 species